AUGAACGCUGGCUACAGGCUUAACACAUGCAAGUCGAGGGGAAACGGCAUUGAGUGCUUGCACUGAUUGGACGUCGACCGGCGCACGGGUGAGUAACGCGUAUCCAACCUUCCCGUUACUGCGGGAUAACCUGCCGAAAGGCAGACUAAUACCGCAUGUUCUUCGAUGACGGCAUCAGAUUCGAAGCAAAGAUCCGUCGGUAACGGAGGGGGAUGCGUCUGAUUAGCUAGUUGGCGGGGCGACGGCCCACCAAGGCGACGAUCAGUAGGGGUUCUAAGAGGAAGGUCCCCCACAUUGGAACUGAGACACGGUCCAAACUCCUACGGGAGGCAGCAGUGAGGAAUAUUGGUCAAUGGGCGGAAGCCUGAACCAGCCAAGUAGCGUGCAGGAUGACGGCCCUACGGGUUGUAAACUGCUUUUAUGCGGGGAUAAAGUGAGGGACGCGUCCCUUUUUGCAGGUACCGCAUGAAUAAGGACCGGCUAAUUCCGUG
rnacentral:rRNA from 1 species